UGAGGAAUUUUCGUCAAUGGGGGAAACCCUGAACGAGCAACGCCGCGUGCAGGAAGAAGGUCUUCGGAUCGUAAACUGCUUUUCUCUGGGACGAGCAAGGACGGUACCAGAGGAAGAAGCCCCGGCUAACUACGUGCCAGCAGCCGCGGUAAUACGUAGGGGGCAAGCGUUGUCCGGAUUUAUUGGGCGUAAAGCGUCCGCAGGCGGUCUUUCAAGUUUGGGGUGACAGUGCUCGGCUUAACCGAGUAAGUGCUUCGAAAACUGGAAGACUUGAGGGCUUCAGAGGAAGGCGGAAUUCCGGGUGGAGUGGUGAAAUGCGUAGAUAUCCGGAGGAACACCGAUGGCGUAGGCAGCCUUCUGGGAAGCAUCUGACGCUCAGGGACGAAAGCCAGGGGAGCGAACGGGAUUAGAUACCCCCGUAGUCC
rnacentral:rRNA from 1 species